AUACUGAGCUGGUAAGGGAGAGGCCAUGAUCAUGAAGGUGGUUCUCCCAGAUUGAAGCUAGCCCAUUGCCUUUUAUGUGCUGACUGUGUGUGAUGUUUCCAAAUAUUCAUAUGCAAAAUUUGUGGUAAUGGGAGAUGGCAUUGUCGGUGAGUAGCUUG